GACGAACGCUGGCGGCGUGCUUAACACAUGCAAGUCGAACGAUGAAGCCGGAGCUUGCUCUGGUGAAUUAGUGGCGAACGGGUGAGUAACACGUGAGUAACCUGCCCUUGACUCUGGGGUAACUGCGGGAAACUGUAGCUAAUACCGGAUACGACCCUCGGAGGCAUCUCCUGGGGGUGGAAAGAAUUUCGGUCAAGGAUGGACUCGCGGCCUAUCAGCUAGUUGGUGAGGUAAAGGCUCACCAAGGCGACGACGGGUAGCCGGCCUGAGAGGGUAACCGGCCACACGGGGACGGAGACACGGCCCAGACUCCUACGGGAGGCAGCAGUGGGGAAUAUUGCACAAUGGGCGCAAGCCUGAUGCAGCAACGCCGCGUGAGGGAUGACGGCCUUCGGGUUGUAAACCUCUUUUAGCAGGGAAGAAGCGAAAGUGACGGUACCUGCAGAAAAAGCACCGGCUAACUACGUGCCAGCAGCCGCAGUAA
rnacentral:rRNA from 1 species